rnacentral:piRNA from 1 species
UUNUAUUUGAGGUACUGCCACAAUACUA